rnacentral:rRNA from 1 species
UACAGAGGUCCCAAGCGUUGUUCGGAUUCAUUGGGCGUAAAGGGUGCGUAGGCGGCGCGGUAAGUCGGGUGUGAAAUCUCGGGGCUUAACUCCGAAACUGCAUUCGAUACUGCCGUGCUUAAGGACUGGAGAGGAGACUGGAAUUUACGGUGUAGCGGUGAAAUGCGUAGAUAUCGUAAGGAAGACCAGUGGCGAAGGCGGGUCUCUGGACAGUUCCUGACGCUGAGGCACGAAGGCCAGGGGAGCAAACGGG